GAGUUUGAUCAUGGCUCAGAUUGAACGCUGGCGGCAUGCUUUACACAUGCAAGUCGAACGGCAGCACGGGAGCUUGCUCCUGGUGGCGAGUGGCGAACGGGUGAGUAAUGCAUCGGAACGUAUCCUGGAGUGGGGGAUAACGUAGCGAAAGUUACGCUAAUACCGCAUAUUCUGUGAGCAGGAAAGCGGGGGACCUUCGGGCCUCGCGCUCUUGGAGCGGCCGAUGUCGGAUUAGCUAGUUGGUGAGGUAAAGGCUCACCAAGGCGACGAUCCGUAGCAGGUCUGAGAGGAUGAUCUGCCACACUGGAACUGAGACACGGUCCAGACUCCUACGGGAGGCAGCAGUGGGGAAUUUUGGACAAUGGGGGCAACCCUGAUCCAGCCAUGCCGCGUGAGUGAAGAAGGCCUUUGGGUUGUAAAGCUCUUUCGCGAGGGAGAAAUUGCACCGGACAAUACCUGGUGUAGAUGACGGUACCUUGAUAAGAAGCA
rnacentral:rRNA from 1 species